GGACAUGAGAAUAGAGCAUAUGUUAGCUCUUAAGGGUAUGAGGGAGAUGAUUUUUCCCCAAUGUGCUUCUGGACUAUAGGAGGUAUGUGUUCCAGAUUUUUAUUGUUAGAUAUACUUACCAAUUUUCAGGUUUUUCAGAUUAUUAAUAACGUACAAAAGUGUCACUAUUUUCAGGUUAUUUGAGAUCAUUGGUCCAACAUUGCUAGUACCUUGGAGGCUUGUUUACUUUAGUUUUUUAAUGGCUUGAUAGGAUAUUUGAGAACAUUUUUGUAUAAGUUAUUUAUGAACCCUC
rnacentral:lncRNA from 1 species